rnacentral:rRNA from 1 species
GACGAACGCUGGCGGCGUGCUUAACACAUGCAAGUCGAACGGAAAGGCCCUUCGGGGUACUCGAGUGGCGAACGGGUGAGUAACACGUGGGUGAUCUGCCCUGCACUUUGGGAUAAGCCUGGGAAACUGGGUCUAAUACCGAAUAGGACCACGCGCUUCAUGGUGUGUGGUGGGAAGCUUUUGCGGUGUGGGAUGGGCCCGCGGCCUAUCAGCUUGUUGGUGGGGUAAUGGCCUACCAAGGCGACGACGGGUAGCCGGCCUGAGAGGGUGACCGGCCACACUGGGACUGAGAUACGGCCCAGACUCCUACGGGAGGCAGCAGUGGGGAAUAUUGCACAAUGGGCGCAAGCCUGAUGCAGCGACGCCGCGUGAGGGAUGACGGCCUUCGGGUUGUAAACCUCUUUCAAUAGGGACGAAGCGCAAGUGACGGUACCUAUAGAAGAAGCACCGGCCAACUACGUGCCAGCAGCCGCGGUAAUACGUAGGGUGCGAGCGUUGUCCGGAAUUACUGGGCGUAAAGAGCUCGUAGGUGGUUUGUCGCGUUGUUCGUGAAAACUCACAGCUUAACUGUGGGCGUGCGGGCGAUACGGGCAGACUAGAGUACUGCAGGGGAGACUGGAAUUCCUGGUGUAGCGGUGGAAUGCGCAGAUAUCAGGAGGAACACCGGUGGCGAAGGCGGGUCUCUGGGCAGUAACUGACGCUGAGGAGCGAAAGCGUGGGGAGCGAACAGGAUUAGAUACCCUGGUAGUCCACGCCGUAAACGGUGGGUACUAGGUGUGGGUUCCUUCCUUGGGAUCCGUGCCGUAGCUAACGCAUUAAGUACCCCGCCUGGGGAGUACGGCCGCAAGGCUAAAACUCAAAGGAAUUGACGGGGGCCCGCACAAGCGGCGGAGCAUGUGGAUUAAUUCGAUGCAACGCGAAGAACCUUACCUGGGUUUGACAUGCACAGGACGCCGGCAGAGAUGUCGGUUCCCUUGUGGCCUGUGUGCAGGUGGUGCAUGGCUGUCGUCAGCUCGUGUCGUGAGAUGUUGGGUUAAGUCCCGCAACGAGCGCAACCCUUGUCCUAUGUUGCCAGCGGGUUAUGCCGGGGACUCGUAGGAGACUGCCGGGGUCAACUCGGAGGAAGGUGGGGAUGACGUCAAGUCAUCAUGCCCCUUAUGUCCAGGGCUUCACACAUGCUACAAUGGCCGGUACAAAGGGCUGCGAUGCCGUGAGGUGGAGCGAAUCCUUUCAAAGCCGGUCUCAGUUCGGAUCGGGGUCUGCAACUCGACCCCGUGAAGUCGGAGUCGCUAGUAAUCGCAGAUCAGCAACGCUGCGGUGAAUACGUUCCCGGGCCU